rnacentral:tRNA from 1 species
GCCGGCGUAGCUCAGGGGUAGAGCAACUGAUUCGUAAUCAGUAGGUCGGGGGUUCAAAUCCCUUCGCCGGCUCCA